UAGGGAAUCUUCGGCAAUGGACGAAAGUCUGACCGAGCAACGCCGCGUGAGUGAAGAAGGUUUUCGGAUCGUAAAACUCUGUUGUUAGAGAAGAACAAGGACGUUAGUAACUGAACGUCCCCUGACGGUAUCUAACCAGAAAGCCACGGCUAACUACGUGCCAGCAGCCGCGGCAAUACGUAGGUGGCAAGCGUUGUCCGGAUUUAUUGGGCGUAAAGCGAGCGCAGGCGGUUUCUUAAGUCUGAUGUGAAAGCCCCCGGCUCAACCGGGGAGGGUCAUUGGAAACUGGGAGACUUGAGUGCAGAAGAGGAGGGUGGAAUUCCAUGUGUAGCGGUGAAAUGCGUAGAUAUAUGGAGGAACACCAGUGGCGAAGGCGGCUCUCUGGUCUGUAACUGACGCUGAGGCUCGAAAGCGUGGGGAGCAAACAGG
rnacentral:rRNA from 1 species